rnacentral:rRNA from 1 species
GAUUAGAUACCCCACUAUGCCCAGCCCUAAACAUUGAUAGCCAAAUAUACACCCGCUAUCCGCCCGGGAACUACGAGCAUCAGCUUGAAACCCAAAGGACUUGGCGGCGCUUUAAACCCAUCUAGAGGAGCCUGUUCUGUAAUCGAUAAUCCCCGUUAAACCUCACCUCUCCUUGUUCUUACCGCCUAUAUACCGCCGUCGUCAGUUCACCCCGUGAGGGCCCAAAAGUAAGCGAGAUCGGCACAGCCCAAAACGACAGGUCAAGGUGUAGUGAAUGGAGGGGGAAGAAAUGGGCUACAUUCCCUGUCACAGGGAAAUACGGAAGACCCAUUGAAACAUGGGUCCGAAGGAGGAUUUAGAAGUAAGUAAAAAA